rnacentral:lncRNA from 1 species
AAGAAAUUAAUAAGAUGAUGAUACAUAUUCUCAAAAGUUGAGAAUUUGAGCCAUGUAUCAUUGGUGAUUAAUUUCUAAAUGCUCCUGAUCAAUGGAUCAUCACGAGGACGGUGAUCGAUCCGAUCAGUGCACAUAUCACUUUCCUUCUGGAUGGACGAGACUUGAGUCCACAGUGUAGGGACACUGAAGUGAUAGUGCAGGUGCUCGUUAGAGAACAAGGGUACUGAGCGUGACCAAGACAAGAAGUCACUUGGAUGUCUAUCCACUCGUCAGUGACUUGCUUGAUGUUGCAGUAGUGUGACUGGUCCUUUGACCUGCGGUGCUUCGGCUACUCACAGUGAGGUUAUUGUAGUUUGACUGCACACAUACAUGGUCUCUAGCCAUAUGGGUCAAUGCAGUGUAGAUUAGCUGCAGUAGGUUCACUGUAGGAGUAGGGUAUGCACCUACAAGGAAUCUAUCGACCUUGAUAGAAGAGGAGUGAUCCUAUGUGAUUUGUUAGACUGAGUUCUAAGACCUUGGCCAGGGCAGUAAUAUAAAGUGGAGAAAGAGUUUUCCACUAUCGAACUCGAGUCGAAUAAAUUUUGACAUAUGACAGACGAUGGGGUUUGACGAGUUGUCCAUGACCUCCAUCCUGUAGGGAUCCACGAUAGUAGGACUGUAUCACAUGGUAAUUGCACCUAGAGGUUCAUCUUUCUAUUCUACUGGGUAGCCACUACAUGCUGCUAGGUG